AGCCCUGUGGUGUAGCGGUAACAUGCCGGCCUUUGGAGCCAGCGUCAGCGGUUCGACCCCGCUCAGGGCUG
rnacentral:tRNA from 1 species